rnacentral:rRNA from 1 species
GACGAACGCUGGCGGCGUGCUUAACACAUGCAAGUCGAACGAAGAGCGAUGGAAUCUUGCUUCUAUCAAUCUUAGUGGCGAACGGGUGAGUAACGCGUAAUCAACCUGCCCUUCAGAGGGGGACAACAGUUGGAAACGACUGCUAAUACCGCAUACGAUCUAAUCUCGGCAUCGAGGAUAGAUGAAAGGUGGCCUCUAUGUAUAAGCUAUCACUGAAGGAGGGGAUUGCGUCUGAUUAGCUAGUUGUAGGGGUAACGGCCCACCAAGGCGAUGAUCAGUAGCCGGUAUGAGAGGAGGGACGGCCACAUUGGGAAUGAGACACGGCACAGACUCCUGAGGGAGGCAGCAGUGGGGAAUCUUGCGCAAUGGACGAAAGGCGGAAGGAGCAACGCCGCGUGAGUGAUGACGGCCUUCGGGUUGUAAAGCGCUGUUAAUCGGGACGAAAGGCCUUCUUGCGAAUAGUGAGAAGGAUUGACGGUACCGGAAGAGAAAGCCACGGCUAACUACGUG